GUAACUUGCCCAUAUGAACUUGUCUUCUGGCCCUCAGGUGCUGAAGGCUGAACAACUGUAGUCAUGUGGGGAGUGGGGAAGGGGAGUAAGAUCGGAGAAAGAACAAAAACCCAAGAAACAGAAAAUGGGGUCUCUGGAAAAUAACUAUCAAGGCAAACAAAAGAGACACAUUGGGUUGGAGGCAUACAAGUCAGAGGUGGUGACCGAGAGAUGCAUGGCGGUAAAUCAGUAAAAACGAUCUGCACAUCCAUUUUCUUAGGAUGAAGUCUACUGGAAUCACGAGCCCACCAAUUCCUUUUCUGGGAAAGGAUAACAUACCUCUAACCCUUUCGAUGUGAGAAGAAUAAAAGAAAGAAGUAUGCAAAACCCAAACGCUUUGAAAAAUAAAGAAGCACUCUCACAACACAGGGUAUUGUUACAAAAGCAAAAAACGAAAGUAGAGGGCUAAG